ensembl:snRNA U12 U12 minor spliceosomal RNA
AUGCCUUAAACUGAUGAGUAAGGAAAAUAACGACGCGGGGUGACGCCCGUGUCCUCGUAAAAUUCACGAGAAAAAUUUUUGAAAGGGGAAAGGUCCGCCCGCUGAAGUGACUUGCCUACUUUGCGAGAUGCUUUGCAGGACUUGGAUCUUCCCU